UUACAGCGAGAGGUAUCCCUACUGUCCAGUCUGUCCAUAGUGAUUACAGCGAGAGGUAUCCCUACUGUCCAGUCUGUCCAUAGUGAUUACAGUGAGAGGUAUCCCUACUGUCCAGCCUGUCCAUAGUGAUUACAGUGAGAGGUAUCCCUACUGUCCAGUCUGUCCAUAGUGAUUACAGCGAGAGGUAUCCCUACUGUCCAGUCUGUCCAUAGUGAUAACAGCGAGAGGCAUCCCUACUGUCCAGUCUGUCCAUAGUGAUAACAGCGAGAGGCAUCCCUACUGUCCAGUCUGUCCAUAGUGAUAACAGCGAGAGGUAUCCCUACUGUCCAGUCUGUCCAUAGUGAUUACAGCGAGAGGUAUCCCUACUGUCCAGUCUGUCCAUAGUGAUAACAGCGAGAGGCAUCCCUACUGUCCAGUCUGUCCAUAGUGAUUACAGCGAGAG
ensembl:lncRNA